rnacentral:tRNA from 1 species
GGGUGAUUAGCUCAGUUGGUAGAGCAGCUGACUCUUAAUCAGCGGGCCGUGGGUUCGAAUCCCCCAUCACCCACCA